rnacentral:rRNA from 1 species
CCUACGGGAGGCAGCAGUGGGGGAUAUUGCACAAUGGGGGAAACCCUGAUGCAGCAACGCCGCGCGUGGGAAGAAGGUUUUCGGAUUGUAAACCACUGUUCUUGGUGAAGAUAAUGACGGUAACCAAGGAGAAAGCUCCGGCUAACUACGUGCCAGCAGCCGCGGUAAUACGUAGGGAGCAAGCGUUGUCCGGAUUUACUGGGUGUAAAGGGUGCGUAGGCGGUCUUGCAAGUCAGACGUGAAAAACACAGGCUCAACCUGUGGACUGCGUUUGAAACUGUGGGGCUUGAGUGAAGGAGGGGCAACCGGAAUUCCUAGUGUAGCGGUGGAAUGCGUAGAUAUUAGGAGGAACACCAGUGGCGAAGACGGGUUGCUAGACUGUAACUGACACUGAGGCACGAAAGCGUGGGGAGCAAACAGGAUUAGAUACCCCGAGUAGUC